AACGAACGCUGGCGGCGUGCCUAACACAUGCAAGUCGUGCGAGAAAGGGCUUCGGCCCCGGUAAAGCGGCGCACGGGUGAGUAACACGUGGAUAACCUACCCCUUGGUGGUGGAUAACCUUCCGAAAGGAGGGCUAAUACAGCGUAAGACCACGACUUCGAAAGAGGUUGAGGUAAAAGUGGGCCUCUGUACACAAGCUCACGCCAGGGGAUGGGUCCGCGGCCCAUCAGCUAGUUGGUAGGGUAACGGCCUACCAAGGCGAAGACGGGUAGCUGGUCUGAGAGGAUGGA
rnacentral:rRNA from 1 species